AUUCGUUCGUUCAUUUUCUCUCUCUCCCUCUCUCUCUCUCUCUCUCUCUCAAAGAAAGUCAUAGUUUGUGUGCUUUUUUUCUUAUGGGGGAGAGAAAAAAGCUUUCAGAACAUAAAGCAGGACAGAAAUUUCUACAAGGUCUCCUCCAAGUGUAUGGAACCACCAUCAUGUCUCUCACUUCAAAAGGUCAAAAUCAUGAGCAAGAAGGAAUCUCUGGUGACCGGAGUGUCACCGGAGGCUCUCAAUUUGGCAUUGAGAACUCCAUUGUGAAGGUGGCUUGUUCAUGUUAAUUGGGUGCUAUCCUACCUGAGCUUUCCCAGAACCUUUACUUCUUCAUUCUCCCUCUUUUCUUUUUUUCUCUCUUUUGACUCGUUGCUUUUCUUUUUUUUUUUUUUCUUUCUUUCUUCCCUUUUGUGUUAAUUUUUCUUGACCUUGUAAGACCUUUUCUUGACCUUGUAAGACCCCCGUAUCAUGUCUUUUAUCUUUGUUUUUAAUUUUGUUACAAACCUUACAUUAGUAAUUAUUGGUGUAAGGUUUGGUCCACGUCUUUUUUCGUUCCCACUCAACCCAUGUUCUCCUUCCCCGUCUAUCCCUCCUGAGCUAUCCAAAUUAGACUUAGCAAAUCAGAAAAUUGAUCAGUAUUUGUUUGAAAGGUUGGCUUGGUCCAACCAUAAAGAUUGUUGUUAGCAGAUUCACAUAAGCAAUCUCUCCAGAAAUGGGAUGCCAUCACCAAACUUCACUUUAAUAAAAUCCUCGUGAAUUGAGUUGACUUUUUUACUAGUAAGCAUUGGAGAUCUCAAAUUCAAUAUGCUUCUAACAUUUUUCUAUUUGUAAAUUUACGAGGAAGUAAACUCUAGAGUUAUGAAGAUUACUCAAAGUACUAAUAAGGGCUCAUUUUUGUUAUUUCUUUACUAUCUUUCUCUCUUCUAUUUGGGUGAUAUUUUUUUGAUUUGGGCUAUCAAUUUGAGUUGGUAUUAUGUGGUCAGAGAUAUGCUGUUAGAGGCAUCAGGUUUCGUUGUUUUAUAUGUUGUUGUUGGCUGAGAAGUGAGUGAGCAACUGAGAGAGAAUAAAUAUUCUUUGCAGAUCCGUGGAUGAGUUCUUCUCGUGACUGCUCUCAUCUCAUGUACAAAAUAUUCACUGUAUUAUUGAGGAUUUCUCUCUCUCUCUCUCU